AAAAAAGUUUCUCAAAGAAAAUCCAAACUCACUGUGGUUACACUUGUAAGAAAUGUAAUAUCUACAAUGAUAACCCAUUAAAAUGAUAUAAUUUGAUUCCAAAUACCUUCUUGUGCAUUAAGUAUGUUUUCACCAUUCAUAUUGCAGGGCUGCCGUUUCGUCAGAACAGGUGACCCCACAGAAAUCAAAGCCUGACGUGGAUGAUCAAGCUACAACAAGGGACCAAGAUCUCGAUAAUGUCAUCAAAGUGAACUCAAGUUCUUUCACAAGUGACAAGGAAGGAAAAGACCUUGAGGAUUUUACUGAAAUAAAUACUGCUGGUCAGAAAAAUAAGAGGCAAGGCUGUCAUAACCUUUCUGUUAUAUACUUAUAAAAUGUUUCUGGUUGUUUAGAUAUUAGUCUUAAUAGGUUCUGUUCUGUAAAAAUCAUUAGAGGAGUCAAAAUUAAUAUUUUUAUUUGAUUUACUUAAGUUCCUCAUUAA
rnacentral:lncRNA from 1 species